rnacentral:rRNA from 1 species
UACGUAGGGUCCGAGCGUUGUCCGGAAUUACUGGGCGUAAAGAGCUCGUAGGUGGUUUGUCGCGUUGUUCGUGAAAACUCACAACUCAAUUGUGGGCGUGCGGGCGAUACGGGCAGACUGGAGUACUGCAGGGGAGACUGGAGUUCCUGGUGUAGCGGUGGAAUGCGCAGAUAUCAGGAGGAACACCGGUGGCGAAGGCGGGUCUCUGGGCAGUAACUGACGCUGAGGAGCGAAAGCGUGGGGGAGCGAACAGG